AUACUCUUAUAAAGGGUAUGUUUCAAGCAGGGAGGCCCCAAAAUGCAAAAGAGCUCUUUAAGGAUAUGUGCUCUCAUGGUCAACAACCAAAUAUAGUAACCUUCUCAAUUAUGAUUGAUGGCUUGUGUAGACAGGGUAAUCUCGAUGAGGCACUCACAGUAUUGAAAGCAAUGGAGAAAAGUCAGUUGAAGCCUAAUUUUGUGAUCUAUGGCAGUCUGAUCAAUGGUAUGUUCAAAGCUGGCAAGAUUAAUGAUGCCAAGGAACUUUUUUCUAGUCUUUUUGAAAUUGGUUUACAACCUGAUGUUUAUGUCUAUAAUGCAAUAAUGAAGGGACUCUGCCAACAAGGAUUAAUGGAUGAAGCGUAUAACGUAUUUAAAGACAUGGAAAAGGUAGGAUGCUUACCAAAUAAUUGUUGUUAUAACAUCAUCAUUCAAGGGUUUCUCAAGAAUGAGGAUUUACCAAAAGCAUCAAAACUAAUCAACGAAAUGGUUGAUAAGGGGUUCUCUGCUGAUGCUGCUACCACAGAACUGGUAGUACAUUUAUCGCGAAAUAAUGAUCUCAUUCUAAGCAAACUACGAAAUCGGUCUGAGGCUUCUAAAGGGGUGCAAUGAGGGAUCAGCAAACUAAAGUUGUUAUAUCUUGACCAUUCAAGGGUGUCUUGGAGAGAAACUUGGUAAUUACCUUCUUCAAAUGUAGUAGAUAUGUAAUUUAACAAACUUCUUAAAAUUUCAUUUUUAAUUUCAAUCAGCUAUGAUUUUCUUUCACAAAAUGAAAAUUUCUAACACUGUAAAUUACCUGCAUUGGAAACCAUGAUAUGUGUGUGCCUUUCGCUUGAACUCAGACAUGGACUGGAUCUCUUUGGAUAUAAGAUUGUUGAUGAAUGGAGGUCAUAGAUUUCUAAUGAUCAAGUUGCUGGUAAACCCACCAUCUUCCUUACAAUUUUUUUUUGGGCUGCUACUACAGCCUUAACUCGAGAACUCAGUCCUAAAAAUGAGUUGAGAACUAAAACAAAUUGAUUCCAUGCGACAAUGCUUAAGAAUCUUUAUCUAUUUUACUUUUGUGCUCAAUGACCUUUUAAGAUGCUAUUAUUUUUCUUGUAGCUACAUGCCAGGAUAUGAUUACAACUUCACAUUUCUAACCAUAAAGGUAUAAGCAAUUCGUUUUUUCUUAAUUAUUAUAUUUUUAAUAGUUAAUGAAAAUAAUGAUUAUAAACAAGUGGGGCUUUAAUGGAGAAUUAAUUUAGCAAUUAGACUACCCUAUAAAUGCAAGGUGCAAGAUAUACAUCCCCAUAAUACAAGUGUAGUGGUUGAGAAAUCUACCAUUUUUCUUUUUGGGUUUCUUGGUUGACAGAAAUCUAGCAAUUUUAGUUGUUGAGAUUAUUGAAUCAUGUGAUAGUAAAUUAGUUACAAUGGCUGUGUAUUAAGGAGAAGUACAUAGGAAAUCAUCUCUGUAUGAUAUAUUUUUAUUAUAUAAUAAUAAUACAAUCAAGUAUGAUCGUUUUGUCAAUAUGGUAUAGAACAAAUAUAUUUUAGCGUUGGACCACCUAUUGAGUUGUUUAUAUGGUGCAUUUUGUGAUACGUUUGUAUGGUGUUUUGAAGGCGAAACACAUUGUUUCUUACUGUUUGAGAAAAGUUGGGCAAGAAAAGUUGCUUUGGUUGUUUCUGUUCUCCUUUCAGCUGUACAUUAAGGGAGAUUUUGUGUUUAGCACAUUGUAAUCCUUGUAAUAUACUCAAUAAAAUUUUCUUUGAGCUUUUGUUUCUACAUGGUAUUUUUGUUUUUGCUUGCUGCGUAAUUCUUGAAGUUUUUUUUUUUAUUCUGCAUCCAUGGCAAUUGGAAGUGUUAGUUUUGUUAGAGAAGGUAGGGUUUGACAGGGUACAUAUUGAGAGGUAGGAAACCAAUUGCAAAUGAUUUCCUUUGAGUCUUCAAAACUCGGAUAAUCCAGGUAUGAUCUUUAUAUCUGCACCUUUAAAUGGACUAAAUUAUUGGAGUUAGAGUAUUUCUAUGACGCUUUAAGAGCAAAAGACAAGUUAGGAUUUGUAAAUCGUAGUGUGCAAAUUCCUCUUGUUGGCUCCACUGGUUUUGAGAAGUGGAUGAGAGUUGAUAGCAUGGUGAGUUAGAUUUCGAAUUCCAUCUCUAAGGAUCUAGUGGAAGUUUUUUGUAUGCAUAUAGUGCAAAGGAUUUAUGGGUGGAAAUUACACCAAAAAAAAUUGUGAAAUUUGCGAUCAAAAUUAGCGAUAAAAUUUUUUGGUUGUUAUAUAGCAUUCAAUCAGCCAUCAUUCUGCUACUACUUGAAUAAAAUGAUUUUUUUUGUUAAAAUGAUUUUUUUUAUUUAACAAAAUACUCAAUUUUAAAUCGUCGCUAAGUUUAGCGGGAAUAAAUAGCGCGAGAUAUUUGCGAUGAAAUAGCGACCAUUUUUGAACGGGAAUAUUAGAAACCAAAUAGUGACUAAUUGGUUUGGUUGCUAAGUUAUUUAUUAGCAAAACUACGUCGUUUUGAUACCCUAUUCUAAGCCAAGCUCCUUCCUCAUUUUUUUCCUCUGAGAAUUGCAUCCCCUUUUGAAUUUCUGCCCUCACCGUGAUUCUCACCAAUCCACCGUCUGUGUCUCGUGUCCUCUGCCCUCACCUCCACAAAUCAAUCACUGUUGGUUCACUAAAUCAGCUGGUUCGUGUCAACUGGAAUCUAGCGUCGACCAUCAACAACUUGUAAGUAUUGUGAAAAACAAUAUGCUUGUGCUGUUAAUUUACUAUUGCAUCCGUUUAUUGUAGGUUCAGUAUUUUAGGUUCCCUGUGUUUCUUACAUUGACUGGCAGCUCCUUUUAUUGACUCACGAAUAAUAGUAGGUUCAGUAAAAUAUUCUUUUGUAUCAUAGAAGGAGGCUCAUCUUCUUCUGACACUUCCUCAAGCUCUUGUUUCUCAUUAUCAUCAUAUGAUUCUGUUGUGCUACAUUCUGAUAGUCCUUGAUGCAUCUUGAAAGAGCAGAAAAUAAUAUUAUUAGAAUAAUGCUAAAAAAUUCAUGCAAUAACCAAAUAUCACAGGAUUAAACUUAAAGAAAUGAGAACUAUAGGGAUUAGAGCAGAAAACCAAAAAAGAGAUUAUGGUCAUUUUCUGUAUUUGGAUCUGCUACACUCCAAAUAAGUAUCCCAAGUACCUAAAGAAUUCUGCUCUACAAUAAAGCAAUGAUAAGGAAAAUUGAUAUAUGCAAAAUCAACUGUAAAUAAACAAGAGAAGCUGAAGCAAAAAUUAAGCAUGUACCACUAAAUUUCCCACGCCCUAAACUUGAAAAUUCAUGCCUUGUCAGUUGAAAUUCACCAAAUGGAAUUCCAGAUGUUUCGGCUUCAAUAUUGGCUGCCUGCAUAAGCAAAAGAAAUUGGGCAGAGGAGACAGUAAGAUAUAGAAUUGUGUAAAACCUAACAUUGAGUGAUGAAAAGUUAGAGAAGAAAAUUUAUAUUUCUGACAACAAGUAUUUAUGAAAGGUUUGGUUUCUGAAUAUCCAAAUAUACUAGUCAAGGGCCUUAAUCGGGGAACCUAAAAUAUUGGUUCAGUACUCAAGGGCCUUAAUCAAAUAUGAAAUGCUUUAUCUUUUUCUUCCAGCUGGUAUGGAUUUUUCUUCCCCCUGUUUCUGAAUAUCCAAAUAUACUAGUCAUUAUCUUGAUCUUAUUUGUAUUCAUCUAACAAAAAAAAGGUUUGGUUUCAAUAGAAUUGGAAAUGCAAAGAAUUUGGAAUUCAAUUUUUAGUUUCAAACUGUUCAAAGAACAGCCCCUUUGAGUUUACUGGUAUAGUUGGAAGUCCACCUUUAUUUGUUAUUUCAAGUUCAUACUGAAACAAAUUUCCAUGCACAUAUAUGAAUCUACCCAACUAAAAAGGAAAGAAAAGCUUUUCUUAAUACAAAUAGUUUGAAAAUAAAUCUUUAUUUCAGUUCCUGCAUAUCUGAAUGCAAUCUAAAGAAUUUAAACAGAAAAGCAUUAGGUUAAGGUUGAAAAUUCUGGGUUUUCUUAAAUUUUUUACAGCUUUUGAUAUUGUAUAUUUGCUUGUUUAGAGAGGUCUUUAUGUAGUAGUUUUUUUCUGAGAUGUGAAAUGCCCUUAUGAGCCAAAAAAAAAAAAUAAAAAUAUGUUGGACAGUCUUAAAAACUAGAAGUUAACUUUAAACCCUUUUUUCAUAAGGAAGAAAAGAACUCCUCUUUUUAACUGGAGGAGAUGUAAAUAAAUGAUGUUUUCCUCUUUGGAGAAGAAGCAUCUUUAAAACUGUGAAAAUACCACUGGCUUAGUUGUUGCAGGUUUCAGAGGUUAGAGCUCGUGAUUUCCAGCCCCAAGUGGAUUCACAUAAUUUGUAACUUGUGUUGGUUGUACAAUUUGCCACUAACAGGUCUAGUUGUCUAAUCUAGAUUCUGAAAUUCUUGCUUUGCUUUGUAUUAUUAUCUAUUAGUAAUAUGAAUAAGAAUGUUAACCAGGUUAACAGCAAGAACAAAUAAAAGAUUAUGCAAUUUUGGUAGUAUUCGCAAGAGAGAGUAUUUAUCAGAUCUAUAUUUCUUGCAUUAUCUGUGGCGCGCCUUUGUCAUCAUUAAUUGAAUUGCUGUAAGUUAUUAGAACAUUAAAUCUCUUGUAGCUUCAUGCAAGUCUACUUAUCACCUGUUUAAAAAUUUGAUUCUCUAUUGAGUAGUUAUCUUUUCAGUCAAAACUAUUUAUAGGAAAGUUGAAGUUCAGCUUAUCAUAGGAAAAGCCUCCUGAUAUUCAAAUAAAUCUGUAUGCUAUCUUCAUGCAUAAUAUUUGCAAGAGUAAUUAUGUAUCAUAGUCUAUGUAAUGUUAAGGUUAGAUUAACAUAGUACACUAUUGGCACUACUAAACGUAAAUGCAACUAUUGCUUCAACACGGUCACUCGCUCAGCCCCAGUAGUGUUGGAAAAGGAUGUAUCCUAGUUGACCACACAAGGUUGUGCGUAGGUAGUUCUUCUAGCUAGGUCCUCAUAUUCUGAAUGAAGUGCAACUCGUCUUAGGAGAAUUGUGCAAUAUAUAUGGUAGUUAAAUGGUUAAUUCUUAGGAUACUUUGGAACAUCUUUUACUUUAAUUCCUCCUCUCAUUCCUCUAAAUUUAAUUUAUAUAUUUUUACUAUAGAUAUCUUGUGUAGGAAAAUGAAUGCCACUAAUGUAUAAUAGGCCCAAGGAUGGGUGGUUGAAUAUCGAAUUUUUAAGGAAAAAUUACUUUUUAGUCCUUGAGAUUUAACGUAAUUAACACUUCUGUUCCUUUAUUUUGGCGAUCCAACACUUAAGUCUCUCACUUUCUCUUUCGUCCAAAUUCAUAGUCGUUCCGUCCAAAAUAGCCAUUUGGUCAAAGAGUCAAAGGUGAGAGGUAAGAAUUUUUUCCAAAAACGUCUUUAAUGAACUUAUUAAAACCCCCUUAAGCUGAAAUCCCUCAAUCUUUCUUCUCUUUCAUAUCCUCUCCAUUUCUUUUUGCCCAUUGUUGAUUCUCAUUUUUUUUUCUUUCUCUUUUCCAUCUUUCUUCUCUAUCGUAUCUUCACUAUUUCCAUAUCUUCAUUAUUUCCUUUUGGCAUGAUAUAUUUGCUCACAUUCCAGGCGAAGGUCAUAAUUUGCAGGAACAUUCAGUCUUAAUAAGAGGAGGUAAAGUAAAGGAUUCGCCACGUGUGAAAUCUCAUUGUAUUCGAGGAGUCGAGGAUUUGCUGGGAAUUUCGGAUCAAAGAAAAGGCAGAUCAAAAUAUGGUGCGGAAAAAUACAAAUCGAUAUGAAUGGAAGAUGCCUCUGGAACUUGUUUUUCUCGGUUAGUUGAGUUAUUCAUUCCAAUUCAUUGGUUUAAUCCGGUAUAAAUCUCAUAGUCAGAGAAUCCGCUUUUGCCUUAACUUAGGAUGAGUUCAUAGGCACAGACUUAGUCAGAAUGAAAAAGAUCCAAUGUUCCAGAUCCGCUGCUAGUCUUUGCUUCACUAGUCCUUGCUUCAGUUGGUCUACCUCCUGUUUGCAAGAUCCAAGGUUGGGCAUGAAGCUUUGGCUCAGUGGGCAUGAAGCAAUUGAUAGAAGGAUGAAUCUCGUUCCUUUCUGAAAACCCAUUCUUUGCAACUAAAAGAGGAGUCUUUUGGGGCAAGGGAGGACGCCGAUGAACUGGGGUCGGUUGUUAAACUCUAAAGGGUUGUCUGAGAACUAAUAGGUCGAACAGUAGGUCCUAGAUCUUGAACUUCUUGUUGUUGCUGCUGCUGCGGUUGUGGUUGUGGUUGUGGUUGCUGCGGUCGUUCUUGAGUAGCAGAAGCAGGAGACCCGGGCUCUACGAAAUCGAGCAUGUCCAGUUCUUGUGGUGCGACCUAGCAAAGAAAUAACCUUUUUGAAAUUGUUAACAACUGCAUCUGUAACAACCAUAAUAUUAUCCGUCGCCGAGGAUUAUUAACGGCUGAAGAGGAUAAUAACCUAGGAUAAUACUGUUGUUGUUUUGCAACUGAUUUCUUUUUAGUAGCUUUAUGACCUUCUGGAUCUCGGCAGUCGCCACUUCUUGUUUUUCUUUGUUGUGAUUGAUUUUCAAAACUGCUUCUAAGGCUUGCACCUAUUUCAGUAUUUCAAUAUUUAUUUCACAUAACAAACAUGAGGAUUAAGGUGCAUUGGGUUUGGGUUUCGUGAUUUUGAAAUAGCGGCACUUUUAGUGAGGGUCAAUUUAUAUGUCCCAAAUGGCUAUUUUGAAUGGAAUGACUACGAAUUUGGAAGGAAGAGAAAGUGAGUGACUUAAGUGUUGGGUCGCCAAAAUAGAGGGACAGAAGUGUUAAUUACGUUAAACCUCAGGGACUAAAAAGUAAUUUUCCUAAUUUUUAAACGGUUUAGAGGAGUUCAUACAAUUUGAUUUAACCCAUCCUGAACGUAUGGAUGAUAUGAAUAUAAGAUGUCCUUGUAGUAUGAUAAGGUGUUCGAAUCGCAAAUUCCUAAGUGUGGAUGAUGUACGAUAUCAUGUGAUGAAAAAUGGUUUCGUUCCUAAUUACUACAGAUGGACAUUACAUGGUGAAUGUUGGGAUGAUCAAGGAACCACUAGUGUGCAAUUAUCUGAAACUAUCAUGGAAAACGAUUUUCAAACUGAGGCUAAUGGCCGAUACCAUGAAACGGUACUUGAAGGGUUUGGUUUACCGUCUCAAAUUGAAUUCAUGGAGGAGGAACCUAAUGCCGAGGCACAUAAGUUGUAUGAAAUGUUACAAGCAGCAAAUAAAGAGUUAUGGUCAGGAUGCAAUAAGCACACAAAACUGUCUGUUGUGGCACGUUUGAUGAACAUUAAAGCGGAACAUCAUUUCUCUAUAAAAUGUUUUGAUCAAAUCGUCGCGAGUUUAUGAAAGAAGUUCUACCCGAAGAUAAUGUGCUUCUAGAUAAUUUUUACAAAACAAAAAAGUUAAUUGAGGGUUUGGGUCUACCAGUGGAAAAGAUUGAUUGUUCCAGAAGAAAAUGUAAGCGACUUACGUACCAAUUAAAGAAAGAAUAUAGUAGUUUCAGUCAAUGAUCUAUAUUAGUUGUUUUCUUUACAAAAUUGAAGAAACUAUGGGAUGAACUAGGUGUUUCAAAGCAUCAUUUAACUAUUUGUGAAUGUGGUGCUUUUGAAGUAUAGCUUGAGAGAGAGAGAGAGAAUUAAUGAGUUGUAAAGAUUUUGUAAAGAGUUUCAGAUAGAGUUUAAGAUAGAUUUUGUGACAUUUGUAAAGCUUUUGGGCACAUAGAUACCCUGGUUGGUUUAAAAAUUAUAAGCAAAACAAAAUUGGCUUUAACAAUGAAAAUCAGACUUAUGGAACCACUGAGAACCUUCGAAACUCACAUCAGUUGUAGAGAGUGUGUGUAUAGGAUUUAAAUAAAAUUAAGGACUUUGUCAAAUAUAUUUUUGAUUCUAGACAAGUUAGGUGAAAUGGAUUUCUCUCGCUUUGCAGGUAACUCUAUAUUCAUAUCUUUCAAAUUAUAAAUCACCAAAUUUAAUUUAUUAUUGAAAAUUAAUAAUUUUAAAUGAAAUAAAAAUAUAUUAUAUUAAUUUUGCAAUUGUUAUUGCAUUAGGAUAAUUUUUUUUACUUAUGAUUUAUAUAUAAUUGGGUAUAAUAAUUUUUUUUAAUAUAUGUUAUUGAUAAUUUCAUUGAAUAUCGGAUAUUAGCAAAUGAAUAAAAAAGUUUUAAAUAUUUCGUUUAUAAAUAAUAAUAAUAAUAAUAAUUGUUAUUAUUAUAUUAUAUAUAAAAAUUUAAAAAUAAUAGUAAAAUAUUGUUUAGUAUUUGAAGAAUACUAAAAUUUUCACUUUAGUGCAUGUAUUUUGAAUGUUCAGCCCUACAGAUCAUGUGAAAGGCAAUAUAAUGAGAAACUUUAAAACCCAUAUGGUAAUAGGAGAGAGAAGUAAGAGCAUUUCCCUUUAUUAUCUUUGUCCAUAUAAAACACAUAUCACCCAUCCAAAGAGAGUGGGUCAGAGUAAUGUCAGAAAACAUCCAUUUUUAUAGUGUUAAAUUUGUGCAAUAGAGUUAAAUUUGGUUGCACAAAAAUAUGGUGGAGCUUUUGGAACUGGAGGAACACUUUUUUUUUUUUUGGAGGACUAACUCAAAACGGUAAUAUGGUGAUUCAUCUAACUUUGAGAAAGAGAUAUCUGAACGUUAAUCAGAUUAAGCAUUCUAAGGUUUUUAUACUCUAUUUUUUAUUAGAUUCAUAGAUUUCAAGAGAGACAAUUUGGCUUCAGGAGAUUGUUUGUUUAGAGAUUACAUAGACAACUAGGAUUUUUCAAUUGCUUUUAUCAAAUUGCUAGUUUCAGUAAUUAUAUACAUUUUUUCUAUUGCUAAUAGUUAUUUAAGACUUUAAAGACUUUUAGAUCAAAUCAAGCCCUCAACUUUCAAUUUUAGUUUAAUAACUUUAAAUUUAACGGUGUUAAUUAACAGGGUCAAAUAAAUAAAGUUAUGUUUCAAUUAUUGAUUUGGAUUUAAUUUGCUUAAAAUUAUAAUAUGUAGGAUAAUUAGACCAAAAUUAAAAGUUAGGGGACUCCAUUGGACAAAAAAAAUUUUAAGAACUUAAUUGACUAUUGGCUAAUAAUUAAGGGGCUAAAAUGAGUCUUUUGCCUAAGAAAAAAAAAAUUGGACAGCCUUGUUACCCUAGAAUAGGAGCAGGCAUCCAAAGGGAAAAUUACGAUUUAUUCUUUCAACAAUUAUGAACGAAUAGAAGAUUGUAAAAUUCAGAGCGACAUAUGUGUAGAGUGAAUAUGUGAGAUAGAUCAGGAAUGGGUUGAUAAGAAGUGUAUUUGAAAUGAAUUAUUGAGUUUAAGGGAUUGAGAGUUUCGUUACGAGUAAAUAGAAGAGAUAUAGUCUAAACUCUAUCUCUUUUAUGAAAGAUAAUAUUUACUAGUUUAACUUCCAAUUUGAGGAGAGUAAGAGGUGAGUUUUUGAGAAUGGAUCAUAUAUUUUUUAUUGAAAAAAAAAACCUUUAAUUUUGGUACAAUGAGAACUGAUGUUGAAAAUUAAUUUGGAAUUAAUCUAAAAAAUGUCUAUAUAAGUACAACUCCAAGGGUUGCCUUGAAAAUUCUAGAAUGUAGAGAUGUUGAGUGAAAUAGGUAGCACGAUGAAAAACUGUAAAGAGGGAAAAGUGCAAGAAUAUUAGUAAAAAGGGAUAUUUAUAAUUUAGUUCCUCAGUAUUGCCGUUAUUAACAAGUUAAUACAUGUAUUUUUAGAAACCUAUUAAAACGUCCUUAUCUUUUCUCUCUGUCAACGAAAUAGUCCUUCCGUCUAUUUUUACCGUUAAAAAAAUAGUAAAAGACCAAAUUACGCCCUUCUUUUCUUCCUCCUCCUCCUCCUUCCUUUUCUUCUUCAUCAAUUAUUCCUCCUUUUGCUUCUUCUUCUGCUUCUGCUUCUUCUUCUUCUUCAUUAUCUUCUUCUUUUUUUUUGAGGAGGAGAGACUAUUUCGUUGACGGAAAGAAACGAUAAGGACAUUUUAAUAGAUGUGAGAAAAGAUAGGGACUAUUUCGUUGACAAAAAGAAACAAUAAGGACGUUUUAAUAGAUAUGAAAAAAAGAUAAGCAUGUUUUAAUAGAUUUCUGAAAAUAUAGGGAGGGACGAUUUCGUUGACGGAAAGAAAUGAUGAGAAUGGACUAUUUCGUUGACGGAAAGAAACGAUAAGAACGUUUUAAUAGAUAUGAGAAAAGAUAGGGACUAUUUCACUGAUGGAAAGAAACGAUAAGGAAAUUUUAAUAUAUAUGAAAAAAAAUAAAAACGUUUUAAUAGAUUUUUGAAAAUGUAGGGACUAACUUGUUAAUAAUAGUAAUAUCCAAGUACUAAAUAAGAGAUUUUAUUUGAGGGCAAAAUUGAAUUUUAAAAAUUUUCUCUCUCCUCCUAUAUCUAAUUUUAACGGUAAAGAGGACGGAAAGAUUAUUUCAUUAACGGAAAGAAAACAUAAUGACGUUUUAAUAGGUUUUUAAAAAUAUAGAGACUUGACUUGUUAAUAAUGACAAUAUCCAUUAACUAAAUUAUAAAUCUUCCUAAUAAAAAUGGACUUGUGAAAGGGUGUUCCUUGAAACUGUUAUUCUAGAAGAUAGAGUAGCCACUGGCAACUUAAGAAUAAAAAAAUGGAUGGUAAUAAGGGUGAUGAUGUUGAAAAGAUGGUAAUGGUGGCAGGGAAUAUAAAUGAAGGAAAAUGAAAGAGGAGAGUGGUGGGAAGUGGGAAAGGAAAAGAGAAAAUAUACAGUGGCACAAUAAAAAAUCAUUAAUUAUAUAAUAUUGUAAUGUAGAGAUUGAAGAGCAUUUUAGUUUCUAUAUAUAGAAUUUAGGUGAAUUGAUUUAAAAAGUUUAAGUUUUGACGUUUAUUUAUAUUUUAAUUGAAUUGCUAGGAAUCUCUCACGAUGUUUAUUCUCUUAACAUCUUAAUUAAUUGCUUCUGCCGUUUACAUCUUGUGGAUUUUGUCUUCUCUGUUAAGAUGCUCAAAUUCGGAUUGGAGCCUACCACUGUGACAUUUACUACCUUAAUUAAUGGGCUUUGUAUGGAGAGUAAAAUCGAUAAUGCAGUGGAAUUUUUCGAUGAUAUGGUAGCACGUGGUUAUCAACCUGAUGUUUAUACUUACAGUACGAUAAUAAACGGUAUGUGUAAAUUUGGGAAAACAAAUGUGGCUAUUGGGCUACUAAAGGGAAUGGCUGAUAGAGGUUGUGAGCCAAAUGUUAUGACAUACGGAGCAAUCAUUGACGCCCUUUGCAAGGAUGAACUAGUUGGUGAGGCUUUAGAGCUCUUCUCUCAAAUGAGGAAUAAGGGCAUUUCACCUAAUGUCAUCACUUACAAUAGUUUAAUUCAUGGUGUUUGCAAAUUAGGCCAAAAGAACCAAGCUUUGGCCUUGAUGAAUGAAAUGGUGGAGCAGAACAUAUUACCAAAUGUUUAUACCUUCAAUGUAUUGAUUGAUGCUCUUUGUAAGGAUGGAAUGGUUUCAGAGGCUCAAAAUACAUUCAAUGUAAUGAUUCAAAGAGGUGUAGAGCCUGAUGUGAUCACAUACACAUCCUUAAUUGAUGGUCUUUGCAUUUCAGACCAUUUCAAGGAAGCUUUGGCCUUGUUGAAAGAAAUGGUGGGAAGGAACAUAUCCCCUAUUGUUUUUACCUUCAAUAUAUUGAUCGACACUCUUUGUAAGAAAGGACUCGUUUCAAAUGCACAAAAUAUAUUCAAAAUAAUGAUUCAAAGAGGUGUGGAACCUAGUGUUGUCACUUAUAAUUCAUUGAUGUAUGGAUAUUGUCUAGGCAGCCAAAUUGACAAGGCUAGAAAGCUAUUUGAUCUGAUGGUGACCAAUGAAAUAGCUGACAUAUUUAGCUACAACAUUUUGAUCAAUGGAUAUUGUAAGUACAAAAUGAUAGAUGAUGCAAAGCAGAUUUUUGAUGAAAUGUCUCAUAAAGGUUUAAUUCCUGAUGCUGUUACUUAUCAUACUCUUAUAAAGGGUAUGUUUCAAGCAGGGAGGCCCCAAAAUGCAAAAGAGCUCUUUAAGGAUAUGUGCUCUUAUGGUAAACAAUCAAAUAUAGUAACCUUCUCAAUUAUGAUUGAUGGCUUGUGUAGACAGGGGAAUCUCGAUGAAGCACUCACCCUAUUGAAAGAAAUGGAGGAAAGCCAGUUGAAGCCUGAUCUUGUGACCUAUUGCAUUCUGAUCAAUGGUAUGUGCAAAGCU
rnacentral:lncRNA from 1 species